GCCAUGCACAAAUGAAACACACAAGUAAUUAAGAGCCCCAUGAGAUAAAUUAUGCCAAUAGGAAGAUAUUCAAUAUCAAAUUAAAAGGAAAUUGCUAACUGCAUCCUGAAUUCCGAAUAAAAGGAAAAUGUACAGAUGUUUAAAAGAAAGACAGAUCUGAAGUAGUCAAACACUCAAUUAACUGCAUACGAUUUUCAGUUUAUCUUCAAGACUUAAUGUAGUAUGGAUCCAUAAUUUAAGGUUAGCUACUAAAAAAUUUUGGCAUGCCCAUAGUCAAGCCUUAGUUUGUAACACAAUUAGAAAAGUUUCAACAGCUGCCCCAUACCACGGACUGAAUAACUAACCAUCAUUUGCUCACAAACCACAAUCCAUAGGUAGUUAGAUCAUGGUCAUCUGGAAAACAUGCCUUGGUUUAUGGUUUGAGAACAAUGAACCCUCAAAAUUGAUUCCAAACCAAUAAAGCUCAUUGUGUUGUCAAAACCUACUGAGGACUCAUAACAAACCCAAAUAAUUGGUCAUUGCAAGUAACAACUGUAAUUGAUGCUCACUUCAAUUGAGGAGUGACUACAAAACCCAGAACCCAGCACAGCUAGACUCAGUUCACUGCUUUAGUUCAUAUCAUUUACUAGUAACUUUAGCCCUUAUGCAAGUCAAUCCAUCUAUAAGAACAAGAUCUUGUUGAACCAGGUAGCCUGAUAAGGUAGACCGGGUUUGAUCACAUCUAAUUCAUGUUACCUCAGUUCUUAUAAUUUUCAUCAAAGGAGUAAUUAGGAAUACAGGUAACCAAGGACAACGCCUGCAAAAUUUCCAGAUACUGUAUUACACCACAUACACUCAAUUGUUUAUUUUUUUUCUUUUUUAACCAAUUGCAAAGCUGAUACUGAAAAAUAAAAACUUAGUGAAGGCAAUCAUGCAAUGAUAUCAAAUGAUCUAUUACUGGAGUAACAAAUCAUCAAAAUAUUGAAGCAUAGUGGAUUUCCAUACCAUCUGGCUGUUGCUGGCUGUGAC
rnacentral:misc_RNA from 1 species